rnacentral:rRNA from 1 species
CCUACGGGAGGCUGCAGUGGGGAAUAUUGGGCAAUGGAGGAAACUCUGACCCAGCAAUGCCGCGUGAAUGAAGAAGGUCUUCGGAUUGUAAAGUUCUUUAGUCAGGGAAGAAGUCAAUGACGGUACCUGAAGAAUAAGCUCCGGCUAACUACGUGCCAGCAGCCGCGGUAAUACGUAGGGAGCAAGCGUUGUUCGGAAUGACUGGGCGUAAAGGGUGCGUAGGCGGUUGUACAAGUUAGAAGUGAAAUACCCAGGGCUUAACUCGGGUGCUGCUUCUAAAACUGUAUGACUUGAGUGCAGUAGAGGUUAGUGGAAUUCCUAGUGUAGCGGUGGAAUGCGUAGAUAUUAGGAGGAACACCAGAGGCGAAGGCGGAUUGCUGGACAGUAACUGACGCUGAGGCGCGAAAGCGUGGGGAGCAAACAGGAUUAGAUACCCCAGUAGUC